rnacentral:rRNA from 1 species
UUGAACGCUGGCGGCAUGCUUUACACAUGCAAGUCGAGCGGCAGCGCGGGGGCAACCCUGGCGGCGAGCGGCGAACGGGUGAGGAAUGCAUCGGAACGUGCCGGGAGUGGGGGAUAACGCCGCGAAAGCGGCGCUAAUACCGCAUAUUCUCUGUGGAGGAAAGUGGGGGACCGCAAGGCCUCACGCUUUCGGAGCGGCCGAUGUCGGAUUAGCUUGUUGGUGGGGUAAAGGCUUACCAAGGCGACGAUCCGUAGCUGGUCUGAGAGGAUGAUCAGCCACACUGGGACUGAGACACGGCCCAGACUCCUACGGGAGGCAGCAGUGGGGAAUUUUGGACAAUGGGGGCAACCCUGAUCCAGCCAUGCCGCGUGCGGGAAGAAGGCCUUCGGGUUGUAAACCGCUUUUAGUCGGGAAGAAAAGGCAAGGGUUAACACCUCUUGUUCUUGACGGUACCGACGGAAUAAGCACCGGCUAACUACGUG